CCUACGGGUGGCUGCAGUGGGGAAUAUUGGACAAUGGGGGCAACCCUGAUCCAGCCAUGCCGCGUGAGUGAAGAAGGCCUUAGGGUUGUAAAGCUCUUUCGCACGCGACGAUGAUGACGGUAGCGUGAGAAGAAGCCCCGGCUAACUUCGUGCCAGCAGCCGCGGUAAUACGAAGGGGGCAAGCGUUGUUCGGAUUUACUGGGCGUAAAGGGCGCGUAGGCGGAUGCGUAAGUCAGAGGUGAAAGCCCUGGGCUCAACCCGGGAAUUGCCUUUGAGACUGCGUGUCUUGAGUAUGGGAGAGGGUGGCGGAAUACCCAGUGUAGAGGUGAAAUUCGUAGAUAUUGGGUAGAACACCAGUGGCGAAGGCGGCCACCUGGCCCAUAACUGACGCUGAGGCGCGAAAGCGUGGGGAGCAAACAGGAUUAGAUACCCUAGUAGUC
rnacentral:rRNA from 1 species